UGGGGAAUAUUGCACAAUGGGCGAAAGCCUGAUGCAGCAACGCCGCGUGCGGGAUGACGGCCUUCGGGUUGUAAACCGCUUUCAGCAGGGACGAAGGUUUUCUGACGGUACCUGCAGAAGAAGCACCGGCUAACUACGUGCCAGCAGCCGCGGUGAUACGUAGGGUGCGAGCGUUGUCCGGAAUUAUUGGGCGUAAAGAGCUUGUAGGCGGUCCGUUGCGUCGGAAGUGAAAACUCAGGGCUUAACCCCUGAGCCUGCUUUCGAUACGGGCGGACUUGAGGGAUGUAGGGGAGAACGGAAUUCCUGGUGGAGCGGUGGAAUGCGCAGAUAUCAGGAGGAACACCAGUGGCGAAGGCGGUUCUCUGGACAUUUCCUGACGCUGAGAAGCGAAAGCGUGGGGAGCAAACAGGCUUANAUACCCUGGUAGUCCACGCCGUAAAC
rnacentral:rRNA from 1 species